AAGUCGUAACAAGGUUUCCGUAGGUGAACCUGCGGAAGGAUCAUUAAAUAAUUUAGAUGGCCUUUGCUAGUUUUCUAGCGAAUGGUUCAUUCUUUUUUACUGUGAACUGUUUUAAUUUUUCAGCGUCUGAGGAAUGUCUUUUAGCCAUAGGGAUAGGCUACUAGAAUGUUAACCGAGCUGAAAGUCAGGCUUAGGCCUGGUAUCCUAUUAAUUAUUUACCAAAAGAAUUCAGUAUUAUAAUUGUAACAUAAGCGUAAAAAACUUAUAAAACAACUUUUAACAACGGAUCUCUUGGUUCUCGCAUCGAUGAAGAACGUAGCAAAGUGCGAUAACUAGUGUGAAUUGCAUAUUCAGUGAAUCAUCGAGUCUUUGAACGCAACUUGCGCUCAAUGGUAUUCCAUUGAGCACGCCUGUUUCAGUAUCAAAAACACCCCACAUUCAUAAUUUUGUUGUGAAUGGAAAUGAGAGUUUCGGCUUUAUUGCUGAAUUCUUUAAAAUUAUUAGGCCUGAACUAUUGUUCUUUCUGCCUGAACAUUUUUUUAAUAUAAAGGAAUGCUCUAGUAAAAAGACUAUCUCUGGGGCCUCCACAAAUAAAUCAUUCUUAAAUUUGAUCUGAAAUCAGGCGGGAUUACCCGCUGAACUUAA
rnacentral:misc_RNA from 1 species